rnacentral:lncRNA from 1 species
CUGGCGGUUUUGGUUCUGGCUUUGGCUUUGGUUUCGGUUUCGGUUUGUAGAUUGGUACGGGUGGUGGAAGCGGUUUCGGUUUCGGUUUUGGUUUGUAGAUUGGGACGGGUGGUGGAAGCGGUUUAGGUUUUGGCUUUGGCUUUGGCUUGUAGAUUGGGACAGGUGGUGGGAGCGGUUUAGGUUUGUAGAUUGGGAUGGGUGGUGGAAGCGGUUUUGGUUUUGGCUUUGGUUUGUAGAUUGGGACAGGUGGUGGAAGCGGUUUUGGUUUUGGCUCUGGCUUGUAGAUUGGGACAGGUGGUGGUUUUGGUUUUGGUUUAUAGAUUGGGACAGGUGGCGGAAGCAUCACUGGUGGCUUUGGUUUUGGUUCGUAGAUUGGGACGGGUGGCGGAAGCGACACCGGUGGCUUUGGUUUUGGUUUUGGUUCGUAGAUUGGGACAGGUGGCGGAAGUGUCACUGGUGGCUUUGGUUUUGGUUCGUAGAUUGGGACGGGUGGCGGAAGCGACACCGGUGGCUUUGGUUUUGGUUUUGGUUCGUAGAUUGGGACAGGUGGCGGAAGCGUCACUGGUGGCUUUGGUUUUGGUUCGUAGAUUGGGACGGGUGGCGGAAGUGACACUGGUGGCUUUGGUUUUGGUUCGUAGAUUGGGACGGGUGGCGGAAGUGACACUGGUGGCUUUGGUUUUGGUUCGUAGAUUGGGACGGGCGGU